UUGACCUCAAAUCAGGUAGGACUACCCGCUGAACUUAAGCAUAUCAAAAGCCGGAGGA
rnacentral:rRNA from 1 species